rnacentral:lncRNA from 1 species
ACAAGGACAACAUUAUUUGGGUAUGACCAUAUAGGAUUGAAGGGUCAACUUAAUUAGAACACUAUAGUUUGUUGUGCUAUCCAUAAGGCUAUAUGUGAUCUAGAGAUCAAAGAGAAAAAUGUUGAGAAUUAUAGAGGUAUAAUUGAUAAAAAGUUAUCUACUCUUGAACUCAUGAAUACUUAUUAUGCUAUCCACAAGAUAUUUAUGAGGAAUAGGGAUUUCAAUCCCACUAAGAGAUAUUAGUAUGUUUUUCAAUUAUCAUAUUUGAGGGGUAUGAAGUUCGAUAAAAUAGUGGGAGACAUAAUUAGAUAAAAAUCCUAGUUUAGUUGUGAAUAUCAUCAUGAGUCGUUCGCUUAUAUUGUGUUCUUGUUGUUGUAGAUUAACUAUACAUAUGGCAUCCUCACUGUCACUUAGAGGUAUCCUAGAUGCAAACAAGUUGACUGGACCUAACUAUGUCGACUGGUUAAGGAACUUGAGAAUUAUUCUCACUCAAGAGAAAGUCUUCUAUAUUCUGGAUACACCUGCUCCAGAUUCUCUUAGAGAAGAUGCUUUCAAAGAGGAUAGGGCCGC